CCUACGGGGUGCAGCAGUAGGGAAUCUUUCACAAUGGGCGAAAGCCUGAUGGAGCAACGCCGCGUGCAGGCUGAAGGCCUUCGGGUUGUAAACUGCUUUUAUAAGCGAGAAAUAUGAUGGUAACUUAUGAAUAAGGAUCGGCUAACUACGUGCCAGCAGCCGCGGUCAUACGUAGGAUCCGAGCAUUAUCCGGAGUGACUGGGUGUAAAGAGUUGCGUAGGUGGCAUAAUAAGUAGCUAGUGAAAUCUGGUGGCUUAACCAUUCAGACUAUUAGCUAAACUGUUAAGCUCGAGACCGUUAGGGGUAACUGGAAUUUCUAGUGUAGGAGUGAAAUCCGUAGAUAUUAGAAGGAACACCAAUAGCGUAGGCAGGUUGCUGGGACGGUUCUGACACUAAGGCACGAAAGCGUAGGGAGCAAACGGGAUUAGAUACCCCUGUAGUC
rnacentral:rRNA from 1 species